GAGUUUGAUUAUGGCUCAGAUUGAACGCUGGCGGCAGGCUUAACACAUGCAAGUCGAACGAUGAUUACUAGCUUGCUAGUAUGAUUAGUGGCGAACGGGUGAGUAAUGCUUAGGAAUCUGCCUAUUAGUGGGGGACAACAUUCCGAAAGGAAUGCUAAUACCGCAUACGUCCUACGGGAGAAAGCAGGGGAUCGCAAGACCUUGCGCUAAUAGAUGAGCCUAAGUCGGAUUAGCUAGUUGGUGGGGUAAAGGCCUACCAAGGCGACGAUCUGUAGCUGGUCUGAGAGGAUGAUCAGCCACACUGGGACUGAGACACGGCCCAGACUCCUACGGGAGGCAGCAGUGGGGAAUAUUGGACAAUGGGCGAAAGCCUGAUCCAGCCAUGCCGCGUGUGUGAAGAAGGCCUUUUGGUUGUAAAGCACUUUAAGUGGGGAGGAAAAGCUAAUAAUUAAUACCUAUUAGCC
rnacentral:rRNA from 1 species